rnacentral:rRNA from 1 species
CCUACGGGUGGCAGCAGUGAGGAAUAUUGGUCAAUGGACGCAAGUCUGAACCAGCCAAGUAGCGUGCAGGAUGACGGCCCUCCGGGUUGUAAACUGCUUUUAGUUGGGAAUAACAGGGGGCUCGUGAGCCCCGUAUUGUAUGUACCAUCAGAAAAAGGACCGGCUAAUUCCGUGCCCGCCGCCGCGGUAAGACGGAAGGUCGGGGCGUUCUCCGGAUUUAUUGGGUUUAAAGGGAGCGUAGGCCGGCUUUUAAGUCCGCUGUGAAAGUCCGGGGCUCAACCGUGGAAUUGCGGGUGAAACUGGAGUGCUUGAGUGCGCAGAGGGAAGGCGGAAUUCAUGGUGUAGCGGUGAAAUGCUUAGAUAUCAUGAAGAACCCCGAUCGCGAAGGCAAGUGUCCGGGGUGCAACUGACGCUGAGGCUCGAAAGUGCGGGUAUCAAACAGGAUUAGAUACCCGAGUAGUC